rnacentral:rRNA from 1 species
UCUCCACCUGUGCACUUUUUGUAGGCCUUUCGGGUCUAUGUUGCUUCAUUUUACCCCAAUGUAUGUUAAUAAAAUGUUGUGCCUAUAUAAUAUAUACAACUUUCAGCAACGGAUCUCUUGGCUCUCGCAUCGAUGAAGAACGCAGCGAAAUGCGAUAAGUAAUGUGAAUUGCAGAAUUCAGUGAAUCAUCGAAUCUUUGAACGCACCUUGCGCUCCUUGGUAUUCCGAGGAGCAUGCCUGUUUGAGUGUCAUUAAUAUAUAUCAGCCCUCUCGUUGUUGAGAGGUUUGGAUGUGGGGGUUUGCUGGCCUCUUAAAAAGGUUCAGCUCCUCUAAAAUGCAUUAUCAGAACACAACCUGUUCAUUGGUGUGAUAAACUAUCUACGCUAUUGAAUGUGAGGGGGGCAGUUCAGCUUUCUAACAGUCUUUGGACAAAUUCAUCAUUAAUGUGACCUCAAAUCAGGUAGGACUACCCGCUGAAC